rnacentral:rRNA from 1 species
AUACGUAGGGCGCGAGCGUUGUCCGGAAUGAUUGGGCGUAAAGGGCGCGUAGGCGGCCCGGUACGUCUGGAGUGAAAGUCCUGUUUUUCAGAUGGGAAUUGCUUGGGAUACUGUCGGGCUUGAGUGCCGGAGCGGAAGGUGGAAUUCCCAGUGUAGCGGUGAAAGGCGUAGAGAUUGGGAGGAACACCAGUGGCGAAGGCGACUUACUGGACUGUAACUGACGCUGAGGCGCGAAAGUGGGGGGAGCAAACAGGAUUAGAUACCCUGGUAGUCCACUCUGUAAACGAUGAAUGCUAGGUGUAGGGGGUAUCGACCCCUUCUGUGCCGCAGUCAACACAAUAAGCAUGCCGCCUGGGGAGUACGGCCGCAAGGUUGAAACUCAAAUGAAUUGACGGGG